rnacentral:rRNA from 1 species
GACGAACGCUGGCGGCGUGCUUAACACAUGCAAGUCGAACGCUGAAGCCCUUUCGGGGGUGGAUGAGUGGCGAACGGGUGAGUAACACGUGGGUAAUCUGCCCUGUACUUCGGGAUAAGCCUUGGAAACGGGGUCUAAUACCGGAUAGGACCUGUCCUCGCAUGGGGGUGGGUGGAAAGUUCCGGCGGUAUGGGAUGAGCCCGCGGCCUAUCAGCUUGUUGGUGGGGUAGUGGCCUAGCAAGGCGACGACGGGUAGCCGGCCUGAGAGGGUGACCGGUCACACUGGGACGGAGACACGGCCCAGACUCCGACGGGAGGCAGCAGUGGGGAAGCUUGCGCAAGGGGCGAAAGCCUGACGCAGCAACGCCGCGUGGGGGAUGACGGCCGUCGGGUUGUAAACCUCUUUCGACAUCGACGAAGGGGCCCUGUUGUGGGGUUUUGACGGUAGGUGUAGAAGAAGCACCGGCUAACUACGUGCCAGCCGCCGCCGUAA